GUUUGAUCCUGGCUCAGAACGAACGCUGGCGGCGUGGAUAAGACAUGCAAGUCGAACGAGAGAAUUGCUAGCUUGCUAAUAAUUCUCUAGUGGCGCACGGGUGAGUAACACGUGAGUAACCUGCCCCCGAGAGCGGGAUAGCCCUGGGAAACUGGGAUUAAUACCGCAUAGUAUCGAAAGAUUAAAGCAGCAAUGCGCUUGGGGAUGGGCUCGCGGCCUAUUAGUUAGUUGGUGAGGUAACGGCUCACCAAGGCGAUGACGGGUAGCCGGUCUGAGAGGAUGUCCGGCCACACUGGAACUGAGACACGGUCCAGACACCUACGGGUGGCAGCAGUCGAGAAUCAUUCACAAUGGGGGAAACCCUGAUGGUGCGACGCCGCGUGGGGGAAUGAAGGUCUUCGGAUUGUAAACCCCUGUCAUGUGGGAGCAAAUUAAAAAGAUAGUACCACAAGAGGAAGAGACGGCUAACUCUGUGCCAGCAGCCGCGGUAAUACAGAGGUCUCAAGCGUUGUUCGGAAUCACUGGGCGUAAAGCGUGCGUAGGCUGUUUCGUAAGUCGUGUGUGAAAGGCGCGGGCUCAACCCGCGGACGGCACAUGAUACUGCGAGACUAGAGUAAUGGAGGGGGAACCGGAAUUCUCGGUGUAGCAGUGAAAUGCGUAGAUAUCGAGAGGAACACUCGUGGCGAAGGCGGGUUCCUGGACAUUAACUGACGCUGAGGCACGAAGGCCAGGGGAGCGAAAGGGAUUAGAUACCCCUGUAGUCCUGGCAGUAAACGGUGCACGCUUGGUGUGCGGGGAAUCGACCCCCUGCGUGCCGGAGCUAACGCGUUAAGCGUGCCGCCUGGGGAGUACGGUCGCAAGAUUAAAACUCAAAGAAAUUGACGGGGACCCGCACAAGCGGUGGAGUAUGUGGCUUAAUUCGAUGCAACGCGAAGAACCUUACCUGGGCUUGACAUGUAAUGAACAACAUGUGAAAGCAUGCGACUCUUCGGAGGCGUUACACAGGUGCUGCAUGGCCGUCGUCAGCUCGUGUCGUGAGAUGUUUGGUUAAGUCCAGCAACGAGCGCAACCCCUGUUGCCAGUUACCAGCACGUGAAGGUGGGGACUCUGGCGAGACUGCCCAGAUCAACUGGGAGGAAGGUGGGGACGACGUCAGGUCAGUAUGGCCCUUAUGCCCAGGGCUGCACACGUACUACAAUGCCCAGUACAGAGGGGGCCGAAGCCGCGAGGCGGAGGAAAUCCUGAAAACUGGGCCCAGUUCGGACUGUAGGCUGCAACCCGCCUACACGAAGCCGGAAUCGCUAGUAAUGGCGCAUCAGCUACGGCGCCGUGAAUACGUUCCCGGGUCUUGUACACACCGCCCGUCACAUCAUGGAAGCCGGUCGCACCCGAAGUAUCUGAAGCCAACCGCAAGGAGGCAGGGUCCUAAGGUGAGACUGGUAACUGGGAUGAAGUCGUAACAAGGUAGCCG
rnacentral:rRNA from 1 species